rnacentral:rRNA from 1 species
GACGUAGGGCGCGAGCGUUUGUCCGGAUUAUUGGGCGUAAAGAGCUCGUAGGCGGCUUGUUGCGUCGACCGUGAAAACCCGGGGCUCAACUUCGGGCUUGCGGUUGAUACGGGCGGGCUGGAGUUCGGUAGGGGAGACUGGAAUUCCUGGUGUAGCGGUGAAAUGCGCAGAUAUCAGGAGGAACGACCGGUGGCGAAGGCGGGUCUCUGGGCCGAUACUGACGCUGAGGAGCGAAAGCGUGGGGAGCGAACAGGG